GGUCUAGCUAGUCGAGUAAAUAUCGAGUAGAGAUCGUAAAUUGGUCGGAAUUAUCGAAUAUGUAUUCAAUUAAGUGACGGAUUGGAGUCGUGAUGGAGUCGUGAAUGAUCGAAUUAAAGUCUUGUAUAGACUGACAUCGGUCGGGUAAAAAUCGUUAACAGGCCCGAUUAAGAAUUUGGGAUCGCUUGGUCGUGGCAAUUUAGACAAUCGGGAUCGUCGAGUUGAUCUGAUCGGCAGUGUGAACCUAACUGUAGCCACUUCUACCCAGUCGACCUUGAUCGCUUAUCAAAUACAUAUCAAAC
rnacentral:lncRNA from 1 species